UCUCCCUGGGGUCAAGCUGCGCGACGAGU
rnacentral:sRNA from 1 species